GCUGGCGGCAUGCCUUACACAUGCAAGUCGAACGGCAGCACGGGUGCUUGCACCUGGUGGCGAGUGGCGAACGGGUGAGUAAUACAUCGGAACAUGUCCUGUAGUGGGGGAUAGCCCGGCGAAAGCCGGAUUAAUACCGCAUACGAUCUACGGAUGAAAGCGGGGGACCUUCGGGCCUCGCGCUAUAGGGUUGGCCGAUGGCUGAUUAGCUAGUUGGUGGGGUAAAGGCCUACCAAGGCGACGAUCAGUAGCUGGUCUGAGAGGACGACCAGCCACACUGGGACUGAGACACGGCCCAGACUCCUACGGGAGGCAGCAGUGGGGAAUUUUGGACAAUGGGCGAAAGCCUGAUCCAGCAAUGCCGCGUGUGUGAAGAAGGCCUUCGGGUUGUAAAGCACUUUUGUCCGGAAAGAAAUCCUUGGUUCUAAUAUAGCCGGGGGAUGACGGUACCGGAAGAAUAAGCACCGGCUAACUACGUGCCAGCAGCCGCGGUAAUACGUAGGGUGCGAGCGUUAAUCGGAAUUACUGGGCGUAAAGCGUGCGCAGGCGGUUUGCUAAGACCGAUGUGAAAUCCCCGGGCUCAACCUGGGAACUGCAUUGGUGACUGGCAGGCUAGAGUAUGGCAGAGGGGGGUAGAAUUCCACGUGUAGCAGUGAAAUGCGUAGAGAUGUGGAGGAAUACCGAUGGCGAAGGCAGCCCCCUGGGCCAAUACUGACGCUCAUGCACGAA
rnacentral:rRNA from 1 species